CCUACGGGGGGCAGCAGUGGGGAAUAUUGCACAAUGGGGGAAACCCUGAUGCAGCGACGCCGCGUGAGUGAAGAAGUAUUUCGGUAUGUAAAGCUCUAUCAGCAGGGAAGAAAAUGACGGUACCUGACUAAGAAGCCCCGGCUAACUACGUGCCAGCAGCCGCGGUAAUACGUAGGGGGCAAGCGUUAUCCGGAUUUACUGGGUGUAAAGGGAGCGUAGACGGCCAGACAAGUCAGAAGUGAAAGCCCAGGGCUCAACCCUGGGACUGCUUUUGAAACUGCCGGGCUGGAGUGCAGGAGAGGUAAGCGGAAUGCCUAGUGUAGCGGUGAAAUGCGUAGAUAUUAGGAGGAACACCAGUGGCGAAGGCGGGUUCCUGGACAUUAACUGACGCUGAGGCACGAAGGCCAGGGGAGCGAAAGGGAUUAGAUACCCGUGUAGUC
rnacentral:rRNA from 1 species